CCUACGGGGGGCAGCAGUGGGGAAUAUUGCACAAUGGGGGAAACCCUGAUGCAGCGACGCCGCGUGAGUGAAGAAGUAUUUCGGUAUGUAAAGCUCUAUCAGCAGGGAAGACAAUGACGGUACCUGACUAAGAAGCCCCGCCUAACUACGUGCCAGCAGCCGCGGUAAUACGUAGGGGGCAAGCGUUAUCCGGAUUUACUGGGUGUAAAGGGAGCGUAGACGGCAGAGCAAGGCUGAAGUGAAAGGCCGCGGCCCAACUGCGGGACUGCUUGGGAAACUGGCCGGCUAGAGUGCUGGAGAGGUAAGCGGAAGUCGUGGUGAAGCGGUGAAAUGCGUAGAUAUUAGGAGGAACACCAGUGGCGAAGGCGGCUUACUGAACAGUAACUGACGUUGAGGCUCGAAAGCGUGGGGAGCAAACAGGAUUAGAUACCCGGGUAGUC
rnacentral:rRNA from 1 species